rnacentral:rRNA from 1 species
AUUGAACGCUGGCGGCAGGCCUAACACAUGCAAGUCGAGCGGUAGAGAGGAGCUUGCUUCUCUUGAGAGCGGCGGACGGGUGAGUAAUACCUAGGAAUCUGCCUGGUAGUGGGGGAUAACGUUCGGAAACGGACGCUAAUACCGCAUACGUCCUACGGGAGAAAGUGGGGGAUCUUCGGACCUCACGCUAUCAGAUGAGCCUAGGUCGGAUUAGCUAGUUGGUGAGGUAAAGGCUCACCAAGGCGAAGAUCCGUAACUGGUCUGAGAGGAUGAUCAGUCACAAUGGGACUGAGACACGGUCCAGACUCCUACGGGAGGCAGCAGUGGGGAAUAUUGGACAAUGGGCGCAAGCCUGAUCCAGCCAUGCCGCGUGUGUGAAGAAGGUCUUCGGAUUGUAAAGCACUUUAAGUUGGGAGGAAGGUCAGUAGCUUAAUACGUUGCUGAUUUGACGUUACCGACAGAAUAAGCACCGGCUAACUCUGUGCCAGCCGCCGCCGUAA